CCUACGUGAGGCAGCAGUGAGGAAUAUUGGUCAAUGGGCUUACGCCUGAACCAGCCAAGUCGCGUGAGGGAAGACUGCCCUAUGGGUUGUAAACCUCUUUUGUCAGGGAGCAACGCCGGCUACGUGUAGCCGGACUGAGAGUCCCUGAAGAAAAAGCAUCGGCUAACUCCGUGCCAGCAGCCGCGGUAAUACGGAGGAUGCGAGCGUUAUCCGGAUUUAUUGGGUUUAAAGGGUGCGUAGGCGGAAUGACAAGUCAGCGGUAAAAUCGCGGGGCUCAACCUCGCUCCGCCGUUGAAACUGGCGUUCUUGAGUGGGCGAGAAGUAUGCGGAAUGCGUGGUGUAGCGGUGAAAUGCAUAGAUAUCACGCAGAACUCCGAUUGCGAAGGCAGCAUACCGGCGCCCAACUGACGCUGAAGCACGAAAGCGUGGGUAUCGAACAGGAUUAGAUACCCUGGUAGUC
rnacentral:rRNA from 1 species